rnacentral:lncRNA from 1 species
CCUGUAUUGAAAAUGAAAUUUCAGUCUCUGUGGAAGGUUAUGGAGCCAGUACAUUCCAGCCCUUCCUCAAAUGCACAUAGUGUUCAGCAGACAGCUGAGGCAGUGCUUGCAGUUCAGUGGAUGCCCUGUGUAGUUUAGCUGGGGUUUCAGCCAGAGAUAAAAGUGGAUCCCAUUGAUGAGGGGAGGCUGCAUGGUGGAUGCAACCCAACACUGUACUGCUGCUGCGUGGCGGCUUGCUGCUGAAUUACUCUGCAUGCCUUCUUGGCAAUGCUAUUAAAAGAUUCUCUUCCUAGACAGAGAAACACAUCAGCUGAAGGAUCUGCACAGACAUUUUCUUUGACUUCAUAGUUUUUUGGGUUUUUUUGUGCUUUUCAGCCAAACAGCACAGUGAUUCACCUUGGGCACUUGCUGUGUACUAGCGUGGACACAGCAGGAUUGAGAUCACAUGGCUAAAAGACAGUAUCUUUUGGCAACACAUGCAGCAUUAGAUGGUCCUAAUGAAAUGAAACUUCAGUAUUUUACUGCUUAUGGUAUAAGAGAAUGUCACUUUUGAGUAUCUCAAAGAAUAUUUAAUAUGGCUAAGUGAGAAUCAAGCCUAAUUAAAUUAAAUUAUUCUGAAAUCUUUGUAGAAAAGCUUCUAAACUGUAAAUAACUCCCUUCCUUCCUUCCCUUUUCUCCUUAAAAAAAAAAUUACACUAUUAUCUGCAGUUUAGUUGCAUUAACUUCCAUUCUGUGCCUGAUCAUUAUUUUCAGAAAGCAGAGAACUAUGAUAAAUUGAUGUAUUUUUCAUAAUGUAAUAAAAUUAUAAGCUACAAAAGCAUGUAUUGGCUGGUCAGGCUUGUGCAGUUAAAGUAAAAAGUAAAAGAUUUGGUUCUCAUUCUGCAGUACUGACAAAUACAGCAUAUCAGCACAAAAGUGAUCUAUGAUUCAUUCUGUAUUUGAGUGAAUUUCUUCGCGAAUUGCAUGAAAGAGUUGCAUCAGUAUCUUAUCUCUUUCAAGAGGCAGUCAGCUUUUUCUACAUAUUGAAUUCUUUAUUGUCUUUAUAUUCCUGCAUGGUAUUUUGUUUUCCUUGUUUUAACUCCAUAAAAGAUGACCGUGUUAUGCAUUCACUAAAUGCCAAACAUUGCUUUUUACAAAAUGCACUGUGUAACUUGUUUGUUCCUGAGCUUCCUUAUGGAAAGGAUGUCCUGUGUUUGUUUACGUUCGUAGAUUGCUGUACUGUCUCGUAACUUUUGUGAAUGCCAUUGCAUUUUAUAUGCUUACGCAUGUACAGCACGUAAGCCAUUUGAUGGUCAGUGAGUUAUCAGACUGCUCCUUAUAGAGAUGGCAUGAGAUGAGAACAGGACUAAAACUAGAAGCAGGUGUGAAGUAAAGUUAGCAAAUACUCCAAAACAAGUAACAUAUCCAAUUGGCAGGGUGUUCUGAGGGGGUAGGUGGUGUCUGCAGGGAGAAGGACGUGCAUAGGGCAGUUGAGAAGCUGCAAGCGUGUGUGCGGGGCUCAGGGAGGUGCAGGGGGUUACAGCAGCAAUGGCUGAGCAGCCUCCUGCCUUCCUGCUCGUACUUCAAAACAAAGAAGUUGGAUGAUCAGACUCUUCAGUGGAGUUUCUUUUAGGUACUUGAGAGUUCUCAUUUGGAAAAACAGAGUGAAAGACUGCCCAGGUUUUAUGGCAGGUCUCUGUCCUGAGCCUGAAAGUGAGUGGUUAAUGUGAAAUCUCGUGAUCCUGUGUUGGGAGAAGAGUAAAGCAUGAGUGCUGGGAAAGGGCUACCGAAGUAACUUAUGUGCAAGUUGAGUUUCUGCUCAUAUGAAGCGGACAUAUGCAGAAAGAUGUUAGUACGUGUUCAUAGAAAUGAUGAUUAAUUAUGAGUAAGUAGUUUCACUUAUUUUUUUUUUCCUCUUUUUCCAGAACUGCAUUUCUCAAGCUGCUGAAGUUUGUUUGCCCAGCCCUUUGUAUAACUGAAUCCUGUAGUUGAUGCAGAAUUGCACACUAUCAGGCUGUGAAAUAGAAAAGGCAGGGAUGGUUUCUAGAUAAAUAUGAUAAAAAUAAUUUUCCAGAGUGUGGACAUAAGUGCUACUGUAAAGAUCCUGCAGAUGCUCAUGAUUCCUUUAUUGAACGUGAUGUAUUCUAUCCUGUUUGCAAAAGCACCAACAGUGAAAUGUGCUCCAACCGUGGCUUUGCAUGCACUGUUGCUUUAGGAAUUCAGUUUUGUUUCACUUCAGGAAGUAGAGCUGUAGCCUGUUACACCUCAGCAAAGACUAAAGUGACUUUUUGAUGGCGUGUGGCAGAUGAGGCUAUGUCCAGGGUGAUCUGCCCUAUCUAUGCACACUAGUAAGGAGCAGUAAGACUCCCGAGUGCUAUUCUGUUGAAGCGUGUGUCAAAACAAGAGCCUGUGAUGUAAUGGAGACUUGGAAACGCUGCAGUUGUGCACUUUGAAACUGCUACGUCUUUGAAGAGAGAUUUCCUGUGCCCUUCCUCAGAUGUCUGUGAUACUACCAAGAGGAACUGUCUUUCUGUAAGUGGAACUCUUCUUUGAAUAGCACAUUCAUAAUAUGAAUUAAUUGAAAACACUCAUAGUAGUGUGUGUGUUUGUAGAGAAGUCUGAACAGAAUUUAGUAUGCAAAAUAAUUUGUCUUAUAUUCUGAUGGUCUUAACCUCAAAUUUUGUAUGAUUUUUCAUGGCUCAUAAUUGAGAAUAAUGAUGCUCAGGGGAAACUCCUUUUAUUUUUUUUUGCUUUGGACGUUUGAAAUGCAUAGUAAACUUCUAUUCUUAGCUUAGACAGUGAUAAUAAAAGCAGUACGUGUCUCUGUCAACAUUAGUGAAAAAUAAGUCUCUGGGGAUUUCUGAAUGUUUUAUUUAAUGAUGAGAACAGUAAAUCUGUCCUGUGUGGUGUCUGAGUGAGCUGACUUAUAUCAAAACAUCAUUAUUUCAUUUUUAUACGUUACAGCAGUGUUUUCGGAAUAAGUACUGGAAUGAAAGCCAAAAGCUCCCCUCUAGAUUGCAAGAAUCGUAUUGUAGGGAUUGUUAAGGGAUUGAUUUAUAUUUUUUGGUUUAGCAAUUUUGAAGAGGAGGAAGAGGGAGAGCCUUGAUCUGCUUGCUUAGCUUGGUUUGGCAGUUUAAUCAUGGUAGUGCAGCCAUCAAACCUGUGCACUUAUCUGGGUGAUUGAAGAUGAGCACCCCGUGAGAUCUUGAUUUGCAUCUAUACCCUUAAUUACUAUCAGAUUGCAGAAGUAAGGACUUACUAGAAUUACUGAAGAGUAGUGCAUUUGUUUCUUCAGAAAUACGGAUUUUUAUGCUCCGGACUCUUAAUUUUAACUUAGUUGAGCCAUGAGGCUUUUUUAUAUACGUGUUGUAUUUGGCAUUUUUUCUUCAAACUUGGAAAGUGUACACACAUCCCUGAAGUCUUUAGGAUAAUAAUGAACUUUGUUGGAAGUCUCUGAAUGUGAAUUACAGCGGGUAGCUUUACGUUACAGCUAAACAGUACUGUGGAAGAUGGGUGUCUUGCUCCUGCUCCUUCCCUCCUUUGCUCUGGCACUUACCUGAGCCUAAGCUGAUGUGUCACAUCAGCAAAAAGAGGCUGUUUUGGUUUUUGUUAGGAGGUAGUUUUCUACUGUUUUGGAAGCUGAAUGUAUUUGUAAUGCAAGGAAAUAAGCGUGAGCCUGGAAAAUUGAAGAAUGGAGCAGGGGCAGGGAGAAGAAUUAAUUUCCUUUCUUUUGAGCCCUUAAAUUUCUCCUUUCUGGAAGCCAGAGAAAUGCAUCUGCUGGAUGCAGCAGGAGAUGAGAAGGGCCAACAUUUGGAAGCAGAGUGUUGGUUUAGGCAUAGCAUGAACAACAGCUACUCUGGGAGUUGCAAGGAUUGGGAUGGAAAAGGCAGAGAGGUAUGGAAGGCUGCUUGGCUCAUGAAGUCUGAGAGGGGGACUGCAUGGCCCAGGUGACAGCUGCUUGGAGCAAGCCAGAAACGGCCCCACAGUUCCCCAUCCCCUGCAUGAGGGAAGCAGCAGGAAGGCAGUUUCAAGGGAGGGAGGCUUAGGAACUGCUGUGGUGAUCAGUCAGUUUGCAGAGUAUUUGAACUGGGAAAACAAAUGGGCUGCCUGUACUAACUGUUCUCUCCUGAGAGGGAACAGUGCUGUGGUUAUAAAUGCAAGCGUAGGGAUCUAGUAGUCACAGCAGUGGUACCAAAAAGUAACAGUUGUGAAUGCUAUUACUUUUUACAUAACUCAGAUUUUAAAAUUAUCAGUGGUUUUUGGUAUACAGAAUUAGUGGCAAGUAUGGAUGGAUUAGUAUGUGAGCCUUUUAAUGCUAAAAACAGAAACUAAUGAGAUUACUGGAUCCUAUGUCACAAACCAUUGACUUUUCUCUCCCCUCCAGGAAGGAAAAAAAAAAAAAGGAAAACAACCCCCCCCUCCACUAUCUCUUAUUUGUCAUUAGGGACAAAAAAAAAAAGUCAAAGCCUUACUUACUGGUCUGAUUGCUGAUACUUAAAGUAAUUGCGUAAAUUGGGACAUCUAAGUGAUGUUUUAGGUGUAAAACUAUAAGAAGAAAUUUGUGAAAAGGAGCUUGACCUAUAAGAGACUUCAGCCUUUAUGUUUGAUGUAAAUGAAUUGAGCAAAAAAUUGGAGAGCUUGCUUUUUCUCGUACCUGCUUUACGUAAGUGUUCUUUACUGGCACCAAAACUGUAUUUUGUUCUCCUGAAUUUAUUUAAUAGCCUUUCCAGCAAUUUCAUCUGAUCAUCCACUGUUAGUUUUUUUUUUUAAAAAAGCACUAGAUUUAUUUUUAGAAGUUCAGACUCUUAGGAAUGUGACAAUAUCACAUGAGUAGGCCAGUUACUGGAGAAAGAGCCAUACACACUGCAAAAUAUGGAAUAAUGAGGCUAGGAGCCUGUGCUGUCGCCAUUCAGUUUAACAUAGCUGGAAAUAUAAGAAAGUAAGCAAAUUAUUUGAUGAGUUAGCAGUGAACCUGGCUGUAACAAUUUUACAGAAGCAAGGGCAGCCAACAGCUUGUCAGUUUGAUGGAUGGCCCCCAAAGUUUUUUUUUUAAAAGGAAAUCACUCAAAUCUAUUGCUUUCAUAGGAUUUACCAGCGUGUAUCAGUUCUCAGCUGCUGGCCUGGGAACCACCAGUGGAAUGUAAAGCCUGUCUAUCAUCUGUAAACUGAAGUAUUUUCAAUAACCGUGCAAUUCAGCAGCAGAAGAGGAGUAAUUAAAUGUCUUAUAAAAUGCUGAAGAAAACAAUUAGCAAG